AGUCCUACGGGAGGCAGCAGUGGGGAAUCUUGCGCAAUGGGCGAAAGCCUGACGCAGCGACGCCGCGUGGGGGAUGACGGCCUUCGGGUUGUAAACCCCUGUUGCCCGGGACGAACAUCAUCUUUCGACAGGACUGACGGUACCGGGUGAGGAAGCACCGGCUAACUAUGUGCCAGCAGCCGCGGUAAUACAGAGGGUGCGAGCGUUGUCCGGAAUCACUGGGCGUAAAGGGCGCGUAGGUGGCGACGUCAGCGGGCGGUGAAAGCUCGAGGCUCAACCUCGAGUCGGCCGUGCGAACUGCCGUCGCUCGAGCAGAGUAGAGGCAGGUGGAAUUCCGGGUGUAGCGGUGGAAUGCGUAGAGAUCCGGAGGAACACCGGUUUCGAAGGCGGCCUGCUCGGCGCUGGCAGACCCUCCGCGGCCCCAGCCCG
rnacentral:rRNA from 1 species